rnacentral:sRNA from 2 species
AGAUUCCUUAAAGGGGAGUAGCGUCAGGUUUUUCCUGAAAUAAAGUCGACAUUUCGUAGAGAAAUCUACCGGCUUUAUUGGCAUAGUAAAACAAUGUCUAGCAAGACCUUUACCGAUUAGUGGUGAAGGUCUUUUAUUGUUUAAAUGAGAGAUAAAAGAU